rnacentral:rRNA from 1 species
CCUACGGGUGGCAGCAGUGAGGAAUAUUGGUCAAUGGGCGCGAGCCUGAACCAGCCAAGUCGCGUGAGGGAAGACGGUCCUAUGGAUUGUAAACCUCUUUUGUCGGGGAGCAAAAGACGCCACGCGUGGCGUUCCGAGAGUACCCGAAGAUAAAGCAUCGGCUAACUCCGGGCCAGCAGCCGGGGUAAUACGGAGGAUGCGAGCGUUAUCCGGAUUUAUUGGGUUUAAAGGGUGCGCAGGGGGAAGAUAAAGUCAGCGGUAAAGUUGAGGGGGCAAACCUCGUCGAGCCGUUGAAACAGGUUUUCUUGAGUGCGGGAGAAGUAUGCGGAAGGCGUGGUGUAGCGGUGAAAUGCAUAGAUAUCACGAAGAACUCCGAUUGCGAAGGCAGCAUACCGG